GGCGGGCCUGGGAGGAAGUCUGCAGCCCUGGGCUGCCGAGGGUGUGGCGUCUGUGUUUGCACCUUUGGAAUGCAGCUGAUUCACUCUGGGGGGAGCCUUGUGCAGCCACCGCUGCCGCCUUGGAGCUGACAUCUGGCGGCUGAAUUCCAGGAGGAGAGAGACAGAUUCCUGCAAGCAGAUGCCAACUCUGAAGGUCAAACUAAGCUAUGGAGCUGCUUUAGGAGGAGGCCCAGAGUCCACCACAGCCCCACCCCAGGAUUCGGGGAGAGAGGUCUGGGACCAGCCAUUCCCCUGCCUCUUCUGGAUGCUGCUCUCAGCCGGAUCUCCUUGCUUUCCUGGGAGUCCCGGGGCCGCCUUUCUUGGAUUUAGUACAUAGACCCCCGUUCACCUGCUGGUGAACUUUGCUUUUUCCAUGUGGCAUGGCGGGUAAGUGUGCCAAUCAGACAAGCCCAGGUUCAAGUCUGCUCUGGCACUGACUGUGUGGCUUUGGGCAACUUUCUUUCUUUCUUUCCUUUCUUUCUUGUUUGUUUAUUUUUUGAGAGAGAGAGACAGAUUGCCCGUGGAGGGGGGGCCAGUGAGAGAAGGGAUACGGAAUCCCAAGCAGGCUCCAGGCUCUGAGCUGUCAGCACAGAGCCCGACACGGGGCUCAAACCCACAAACUGCGAAAUUAUGACUUGAGCCAAAGUUGGACACUUAACUGACUGAGCCACCCAGGCGCCUCUUCGGACAACUUUCUGAACUUCCC
rnacentral:lncRNA from 1 species